rnacentral:rRNA from 1 species
UGGGGAAUUUUGUACAAUGGGGGAAACCCUGAUCCAGCCAUCCCGCGUGUGCGAUGAAGGCCUUCGGGUUGUAAAGCACUUUUGGCAGGAAAGAAACGUCAUGGGUUAAUACCCCGUGAAACUGACGGUACCUGCAGAAUAAGCACCGGCUAACUACGUGCCAGCAGCCGCGGUAAUACGUAGGGUGCAAGCGUUAAUCGGAAUUACUGGGCGUAAAGCGUGCGCAGGCGGUUCGGAAAGAAAGAUGUGAAAUCCCAGAGCUCAACUUUGGAACUGCAUUUUUAACUACCGGGCUAGAGUGUGUCAGAGGGAGGUGGAAUUCCGCGUGUAGCAGUGAAAUGCGUAGAUAUGCGGAGGAACACCGAUGGCGAAGGCAGCCUCCUGGGAUAACACUGACGCUCAUGCAAGAAAGCGUGGGGAGCAAACAGG